rnacentral:lncRNA from 1 species
ACUGAAAUGAUGUGUUUACUGCCAAGGAAGGCCAAGCAUUGCUGGCCCCCUCAAAAGCUGGAAGAAGCAAGGAAGGAAGUGGCUCUGGAGCCCUAGAGGGAGCACGACCCUGCCAACAUCUUGAUUUCAGACUUCUGGCAUCCAGAACUGCGAGAUAAUAAACUUCUGUUGUUUCAAGCCACUCAGCAUGGGGUAAUUUGUCACAGCAACCUAGGAAACUAGCACAAUGUUAUUUUUAAUCUAUUUUGUAGGAUCAGUUGAAUAAUAAUCUUCUGGAGACUUCCUGAAGCAUUCACCAUCCUUACUUUGAAAACGAACCUUUCAGAGUCUGCAGAGUGAAAAAAAUUUGGAGGGGAGAACAGUAAGCACGGUGAGCCCAUCCAAAUGAAGUUUUCAUUCAAUGCACAUUGUAUUAUUCCCGCCAAGCCAGAACAAAAGAUGGAUGCUCUUAACUGCCAUCUCUGUACAGUGGCCAGUUGUCCAAAAAGGGUGCCUUAUCCAAAAGCACAAAGAAGUGAGGCUGAAAAUAACAGAGAGAUUCCUCAGGCCCUCAUCAGAAGAGGCAUCCCUGGAGUUGAGUAACUAGUUCUGGCUGCUGGUCUCCAGGUGACAUGUGUCACGUUUGAGCUAAGGUAGGAAAGAGCUAAUGUGUCUCCUCCAUCCCUUUCUCCCACUCACUGGUAGCAUUGGAGGCCAAUGGUUGAGUUACAGGGUCAGGAGAUUGAAGCUGCUGGUAGCAACCAGAAGAAGUAGAGUUUUCCCGGAACAAUGUCCAACAAGAAAGAUACAGCCAUUCUGGAGAUCAAUUUGGCAGUUAGUAGUGAAAUUAAGAAUGACAUGAUUAUGGAUUAGCAAUCCCCACUUCUGGUUAUUUGCCUUGUUAAAAAAUAUCAUACAGGUCUAUUAAAAAGAAGUGUCCAAGAUCAUCAGAUUUCCCCUUCUUCCCCUGCUGACAUGCUUUUUGUGCUGAACUUUAGAUACCACUUGCGGUACAGUGUAUUUAUGGUAAUGAACAAUUUGAGGUGAUCUAUGUGUUCAUUUCUGGAAAAAUAAGUAAUAUAAUCAGUAAGCUAGAUACAUAUAGAAAAAUGGAUAGAUUUUAAAUAUACCGUAUAGCAUAGAUUUUAUUAUUUGUAUAAAUUUACGGGGGACAAGAAAAGUUUUGUUACAUGGAUAUAUUGCAUAGUGGUGAAGUCUGGACUUUAGUGUAACCAUCACCUGAAUAAUGUAUAUUGUACCCACUAAGUACCUUCUCAUCCAACACCCCCACCCUUCUGAGUCUCCAGUGUGCAUCAUUCCACACUGUAUGUCCAUAAAUGCAUAGUUUUGAAUUAUAAAUUAAGAAACAGCCAAGAACUGUAGAAUAGCAUCAUUUAUAUAAACUGAAAACACAAAAACACACAUGUACAAUAACAUGAUAUGUUUUACAAGGUUACAUAUAUGACCAAGAUGAUGAGCAGGAAAGGGAAAGGAAAUGGACACUAAAAAUUAAGCAAAAAAUAUAAAUAAAAAGUAAAACAAGAGAAGGGCUUUUCAUAGAACAAUUGAGAAAUAUGUUUAACUCAGCUUUGUAAAUCUGAGGUGACAACAAAAUUAGAAGGAAAAAAUAAUUACCUGUCCACUUCAAAUUCCACCUUGUGAUAUAUCCACGUUAAUACAAUGGUGAGCUUCGUCCUAUGCUGUGUUCACAACACCACCUUAGAUUCACCUUUGCAUAAGCCUAUAUUAUCUCAAUUGUUGGGAUAUAUCUUAUUAUCAACAUGACCUUGGUCAGAGAUUCAUAAAACAUCAGCUGAAAACUUUCUUAGCACCUAGUCUAAAUAACCUCAUUUUACCUAAUGCUGACUCAAAUAACUGAAAUUACUUUUUCAAACCAAAAGAAAAAUUCAAGGGUCAGGGUCAGCAUUGAAGGUCAGAUCUCCCAUAUCCCUAAUCAGCACUAUUUCCAUUAUGCCCUGUUACACAUAAGAAUAUGGGGAGUGUCUGAAAAGAUCAAAAUAAACAUGAUCAAUCUAAAUACUAGACUAAUUCAUGUUAUACCAAUUAUGCCUGCCACUUGAAAAAUAUAUUUUAAGAUGAUUUUUCAAGUACUCAGGCAAUAUUUACAGAGAAAACUGUGAUGGUAUUAGAGGCUAAGCUGUUGAUUACAAACAGGUGAAUUUUCGGCUUUAUGUAAUUUGCUUAGAGGCAGCAAAAUGAGUUGAAGUGGAAACAGUCCACUCUCUGGCCCUAUUCAUCCUUGUGGAAUUUGAUCCCUAUGUUCAAGUAAAAGAGAGCUCUUUAGCUCUCAUUCAGCAUUGUCAUUAUGUUGGUUCAAACAGGAAGUGUAAAUAAUUAAGAAAUUUUAAAAGUGUCCAAUUAUAAGUGCAUUCAAAAACUUUUCUCUCCCUAAAAGGUAUAUCUACUGGAAUUUUAAUCAGAGAAGACAGACAUUUUAAGUCUUUUUUUUUUAAGACUUUUUUUCCCAUAGUAUUCAGUCUCUGGAAUAUCUCCAAGAAAAUUUGCAUACUAUAUAGAGAUGAGAUAGAUUCAAAGAGUGGGGAGAAUUAACUCCUGAAACUGCUACUUCCCCAAGUCUUUCAUUGAAGGUGACUUUGAUGAUGGCCAGCAUAUAUGUAAGAUAAACCAUAAUGUGUAUUGCCUUGGUAAGCCAAAUUGAAAAUGUAUAUGCUCUUUAGGGAUUUUAUAUAGGUGUAAUCUCCAUAUUCCCAUAUAAAUUUGCAAAUAUAGAUUAUUUUGAGUAACACUAAAGUCUUUAUAAACUCAUGUCAAAGAAUAAAAGAAAAAUGAUAACAGAUAAUGAAAUCACACGACAACAGAUGAAUUCGACCUCAUAAUACUGUUGUCUGUAUUCUGUAUUUCAGUCUAACCUUUGAUCUCGACUUCUAUGGUCAUAUAAGUACCAUACAUUUUAACUUUUUUAUCUGAAAUAAAUCUUUUUGCUAAGAAGUCCAGAAGUAGAAUAAAAUCAUUUAAUAUCUUGCUUGAUCAAAUAAUGUUAUUUAAAUGACAGUUUUUCAUGUUGGUACGAGAGUGCGAAGUUGAUAUUUUUUGUGAGAUUGUAAAUUGAUAUAAUUCUUAUGAUCAAUUAUGUAUGUGAGUUAAAAGGUAAUUUUUAAAAAUCAAUUUUAUGUCUACCAGCUGUGUGACCUUGAACGUAUAUUGGUCUUUGUGAGUUGACUUAAUUAUACAAUACCACUACCCCGAGAGCUAACAUAUAUUGUACAAUUACUGGGUUAGAAUUAUACUGAGAGGCUUAUACGUCACACUAGAACUGUGCAAGGUAGGUGUGAUUAGCUGCUUUGAGUUUCAGUUUAUCUGUAAUGUAGGGAAAAUUAAGUUAUCCACAGUCUCAUGAGUAGCCAAUGGCAAAACCAGGAAUUGAAGCCAAGUCUGUUGUGCUAUACUUUUGGGCACUUUUCACAGCAUACUAUACUGCCUAAGGUUUGUCCUUUUCCUCAGCCUUCCGUGUCAAGGACAUCCCAACCUUGUGGGCUCUGUGGGCUGACAUUGGUGCAUUAUUUCUUCUUCCUUCCCAUAUGUGUUUGAGCUUCCUUCUAAUGUUACCGAAAUGCCAGGGUUUCAGUCUAGAUCUUGUUGCUUGCCUCACAGAAAGCCAAUUACUGAAACAAUGAGUAUUGCCAGGAAAGGAGACUUUAUUUGGGUGCUGCAGCUGAGGAGAACAGGAGAUCAGUCUCACAGCUACCUCCCUGAUCAACUACAGUUGUGGGGUUACAUAGAGGGUAAGGAAUGUAACUAAGUAUGGAAAAACAGGAAGUAGAGAGGGGUAAGGAAGUUGAGUUGGCCAACAGGAAGCAGGUGGUCAGUUAGGCAAUCGUGGCAGGUGAGAGGUCUGCUAUCUCAUUGUCCAGAUGCAAUGAUCUGGUGAGUUUCAGUUCCUUGAUACUCUCUGGAAGGCCUCAUGGUUGGUUUCCUGGGAAAAAGGUCAAGUAAGAUAAAUGCAAGUUUCAAGCUUUAAGACUAGAAGGGUCAAUUCCUAUGUUUAUUCAAGAAAACAGUAAACAUCAGUUCUGUGGGACAAUUGGGCUGGUUUCACUAGUAUACUAAUUUAGGUCAAGGACAACUAGAUUUUCAUCUAUUUUUUUCUCUUUCCUUUUGAGAUUUUGGAAGAAACAACAACAAGAACAACAAACCCAACAGUCUUUUCAAAACGCAAAUCUGAUUAUGUUACUAUCCCAUGGUAAAAGUCAUUAAGUGGCUUUUGAUUGCUCUCAAAUAGUCUAAAAUACUUACCAAGGUUUUCAAACUUUGCUUGAUCAGACCCCCUGCCAUCUGCCUGGGCCCUCCUGCCCCACACGGUACUCUGAACUCUGAUGAUCCACACAUCUUCCAUUACAAGUCUUUUACAAGCACUCUCUCUUUCCUUGGAGAGAUUUCUCCUACUCUUCACCUAUUCACUUUCUUAAGCAAAUGUUUUCUCUUAUAUAGCCAGUCAGUUUGCAUGGUUAAAUGUUUGAAAUUAAAAGCACUGCAUUACUUCCUUGCACUGAUCUCAGUUCAUAACGUUUUCUGUGCAUUUGUUGACUAUCACACAAAAAAUCCACACCACCAUUCUAUUAAUUAGGGUUUUCCAGAGAAACAGAAACAAUGGGAACUAUAUAUAUCUUUAAAAAACAAUUUUAUGUCUACCAGUUGUGUGACCUUGAACAUAUAUCACAUAUAAUAUAUAGAGAGGGGUUUUUAUUUAUUUAUAAAUUUCAGUUUCUAUUUUAAAUAUAGGGGGUACAUGCAUAGGAUGGUUACAUAAGUAUACUGGACCCAGGCAGUGAGCACAGUAUCCAAUAGGUAGUUUUUCAGCCUAUGCUCCCUCCUUCCCUCCCACCUCUGGUAGUUCCCAUGUUUAUUGUCCCCAUGUUUAUGUCCAUGUGUGCUCAAUGUUUAGCUCCCACUUAGAAGCGAAAACAUGUGGUAUUUGGUUUUCUGUUUCUAUUUUAGUUUGUUUAGGAUAGUGGCCUCAAGCUCCAUCCACGUUGUUGCAAAGCAUAUGAUCCUGUUUUUUUUAAGGCCGCAUAGUAUUCUAUGGUGUACAUGGACCACAUUUUCUUUAUCUAGUCUACCAUCGAUGGACAUCUAGGUUGAUUCCAUGUCUUUGCUAUUGUGAAUAGUGCUGCAAUGAACAUACGCAUGCAUGUGUCUUUUUGUUAGAACAAUUUAUUUUCCUUUGGGUAUAUACCUAGUGUUGGGAUCGUUGGGUGAAAUAAUGGCUUUAAGUUCUUUGAUAAAUCUCCAAACUGCUUUUCACAGUAGCUGGAAUAAUUUACACUCCCACCAAUAGUGUAUAAACAUUCCCUUUUCUCUGCAACCUUGCCAGUAUCUGUUGUUUAUUGGCUUUUGUAUAGUAGCCAUUCUGACUGGUAUGAGAUAGUAUCUCAUUGUGCUUUUGAUUUGCAUUUCUAUGAGGGCCUUUACUAGGGAAAUUGGCUGAUGUGAUUAUGGAGGCUAAGAAGUUUCAUGUGGUCAACCACAGAGAGAUCCAGGGAAUCAUGGUCCAGUCUGAGUCCAAAGUCCUGAGAACCAGGGGGCCACUGGUGCAAGUCCCAGAGUCCAAAGUCUGGAGAAACUGUAGUCCUUAUGUCCAAGGGUAGGAGAAGGUGAAUGUCCCAGCUCCAGAAGAGAGGUCAAAUUUACCUUUCUUGUGCAUUUUGUUUCAUUGGGGCACUCAGUCAGUUGGAUAGUGCCCACCCACUUGGAUGACGGCAGGUCUUCCUUACUCAGUCCACUGAUUUAAAUGUCAGUGUCUUCCAGAAACCCCUCACAGACACAUCUAGAAAUAAUGCUUUACUAGCUAUCUGGGUAUCUCUUAAUUCAGUGAAAUUGACACCUAACAUUAACUGUGACAACCAUUUUUGAGAGAUGGAGAAGACGUCUGCAUCUGGUCAAGAUAGAAUGGCAAGGACCAGAUUUACCUACCCUUUCAUCUGCAAUAACCAAAAAAACUGGCAAAUGUAUGAAAAAUGGCUUUGAAGAUAUUGAACUUCAGGCAAUAAAAGAGAGUGAUUCCUGAGAGGUGGUAAACAAAUGAGAUGAGCCCCAUCUCAUAGAACAACCAGUGCCACUAGAGAUCACAAAACACAAAACCGGAGAA